UACUGUGGAAAUUUUCCUUAGGGCAGAUGGUCAUACAAGAAAAUGCUGUGGGUUUUACUGAAAAUAAUUAUUCUUUACCUGCUCUGCAGAACUUCAGACAAGAAUGCCCAGCUUCCCAGGUUGAAAUACUGUGCAUCAGACAGUAUAAGCAUUCCUGGAAGUUACAAGAGAUUAUGUGAAAGCGUUAAAAUGUUUUUGCAUUAACAUAAUUUUUAUUGAAGAGUUGUGCUCCAAUGAUGGAGAACAAAGGAAGAGCAUGUGAUAGAAAUGUGUAGUGUAAACAGCUCACAUUGCUCCUAGCAAUUGCAUGGUUUUAAUUUGGUAACAGAUUAUGAACUGUAUUUGUAAAAAUUAUUCAGCAGUUUCAAAAACCACAAAUAUUUAGGAAAGCUGUGCCUUUCUGGAGGCACCUGGCAACCAGAUAAAGAACCAAAGUUCAUUAACAGAUGAGUCAUUGCUUCUAUGUCCUUGCCUGAGAUAUCCACAUAAAAUCUCACUGACUUCAGCAGGUGGUGUGGUCAGACUAAAGGAGAGUGUGGUCUCUUGGCCAGGUUCUGGCCUGACUUCAGGCUCACACUGAUUUGUUGGUGAUUUUAAGCAAGCAGAGAGGAAAGAGUGCUUCAACUGACAAGAUUCAUUAGCACUCCUCUUUCUCCCCUUCCUCUUCUCAUCCCAUCCCUCUCACUGCUUCAUCUGCUCUUUGUAGGGCCAGGAACUUGCUGUCCUUUUUUCCAGGUGGUGACCACAUGGCUAAUCUCUCUGCAAGGCCCUGGCUUGCUGGUGAUAUCCACAUAACUUAAUGGCCGUCCUGGGCUUCUUCCUGAUACCUUGUCCUUGCUACACAGAUGAUUGUUGCUCAUGAAGCAGCGUCUGAUUUACAAAUUAAAAACUUUCAAUAGUUCUCUGUAUUUUAUAUUGAGUUACAGAAGUACUGAUCGAGUUGACUACGUGGAUUUGCAACCAGCAGCUCAGCAGCUGCUUCAUGAACCAUCCUUCGAGGAGGGGAACAUCACAAAGAUGGGCGAGUUGGAUGCUGAGAGGUGGAAAUUGGUCUAUUCAUCCCAAGAGAAAUCCUCCCCAGUUAUUCCUUUAGCAAGGAAGAUAUGA
rnacentral:lncRNA from 1 species